UAUUGGGCGUAAAGGGUGCGUAGAUGGCAUAAUAAGUUAUUGGUGGGAAAUCGAGGCUCAACCUCGUGGAAGCUGGUAAUACUGUUGUGCUUGAGUGCAGGAGAGGUUAACGGAACUCCAUGUGGAGCGGUAAAAUGCGUAGAUAUAUGGAUGAACAUCAAUAACGGCGAAGGCAGUUAACUAUUCUGUUACUGACAUUGAGGCACGAAAGCGUGGGGAGCAAAACGGAUUAGAUACCCGUGUAGUCCACGCCCUAAACGAUGAGUACUAGAUAUUGGGAACUUGAUUCUCAGUGUCGCUAGGUAACCCAGUAAGUACUCCGCCUGGGUAGUACGCUCGCAAGAGUGAAACUCAAAGGAAUUGACGGGGACUCGCACAAGCAGUGGAGCAUGUGGUUUAAUCCGAUACAACGCGUAGAACCUUACCAAGGCUUGACAUGUUUGGCAAAACUGUGGAAACACAGCGGAGGUUAUCCAAACACAGGUGCUGCAUGGCCGUCGUCAGUUCGUGCCGUGAGGUGUAUGGUUAAGUCCUAUAACGAACGCAACCCUUGGGCUUAGUUGCCAGCAUUCAGUUGGGGACUCUAGGCCGAACUGCCUGAGUAAUCAGGAGGAAGGAAAGGAUGACGU
rnacentral:rRNA from 1 species